rnacentral:lncRNA from 1 species
ACCUGACAGAACUGUCGGCUGUCAUUUUGUUUAUUUUGUAAAGUGUUCGAUUUUUUUCAUUAAACUUCAAGAUGAGCACUCAACACGCUGCGCCUUGGUCCCCUUUAUAUGACGACCGUUACAAAGUGAGACUUUGAUGAGGCUCUUCCUAUUUCCUCUGAGUCAGAAUCUAUGAAUAGUGUCAAAAUUACACUUCUUCUUUUGCUUGUCACAAACUGGGUGAGGUCUUCUGAGUUUCAGGAACAGCUGUCUCUCAUACUUUCCUUACACUGGUUUUGUUUAUGCCAUAAAACAUUGCCAGAUUUUGGAAAUUCAGCUCUGAAAAGAAAAUAGAGGACUUUGACGAAGUACCGAAGUUAAUUUGAUAAACUGAGACCCUGCGUUGUAAAGAGACAUGGAGGCUGUUUUAGGACUGUUGGUGAUCUCAGCAGGAGUGUCUCAUGGCUUGGAGACUUCCUGUGAUGCUAGACAGAAUGUAUCUCAGUGUUAUGGAGCUCUGGGAGGAACUGUCUAUCUCCAGCUGGUGACUGAUGACAUGGGAUAUGAUGAACUCUCAUUUUAUAAAGACCCAACUGGUGCUAAAACAGAGAUACUCAGAUCGAAGAAGGGCAUAUGGGUAAUAAGAGACAACCGCAUUAAAGACAGAGUAGACUUCUUUAUAAACAAUGGGACAUUUAGGUUAAAUAACACAAGAAGUACAGAUUCUGGUGAAUAUCUGCUAGAAUACUUUAAUUCAGUAGGGAUAUCAUCAUGGACCAGAGGACUACAACUGUUCAUCGAAGCUCCAGUGUCCAGUCCUCAGCUGUCCUCUGAGUGUCUGUCCCAUGGAGAGAUGAAGGUGUCCUGUUCCUCUGAGGGGGAUGGUCCCCAGUACAGCUGGACUCUGGAUGGACAGACACUGAGAGACACUGAGACCUCUCCUGGUGAUGAGACAAACACCAUCACUCUGAAGAAAGGCCUGUCAGGAAAUCUCACCUGUACCAUCAGAAACAACAUCAGCAGUGAUACUGUCAGCAGGAUAAUCUCACACUGUCCAGGUAUGGAGGAGAAAUCCUGUGAUGCUAGAGAGCACAUGUCAUGUCACGGAGCUCUGGGAGAAACUGUCUAUCUUCAGCUGAUGAAUAAUGCCACAGGGUCUGAACUCGUAUUCAAAAAGGACCCCACUGGUGCAAAUAUAAGGAUAUUCAGCAUGAAAAACAACAGAGUGAGAUUCCAUGACCCCAUUAAACCUAGAUCAGAGUUCUUUAUCAACAACGGGACAUUUAGGAUAUCUAACACAGAAAAGACUGAUUCUGGUGAAUAUGUCUUAGAAAUCUAUGAUUCACAUGGAGCACGUUUGAGCACCGGAGGAGUACAACUUAUAAUUGGAGGAUCUGGGUUCAAUGUGUUUGUUUAUUUCCAACUUGCUGAAGUCUUCAUUCUGAUGGCAAUCUGUCUGGGAUCAUACUGUUUCUACAAGAAGAAAACCUGUCCUCAAGAACAAGAUGAUGGUCAGUAAGCAGAGGAAUAUGAAGACUCUCAGGUGGAUCAUGGUGGGACUCAGAGGAGGGUGUUGAUGUCCUAAGAGUUGCUAUGGGGAUCAACCAGGCUUUGAGAUUACUUUAUGAAAUAAUGACUAACGAUGAUAUAAUACUGCUUAUCACUCUUUUAAUCUUGAAACUCAAAGCACAGUAAUCUAUUUAAACCAAAAAAAUGCCAUUCUAUUCUUUUGACUUUUAUUUUCUUAUUUUAAUUAUGUUCCUUCAGACCUGCCCUUAACAACAUGAAUAGUGAAUGAUCUAUGUGAUGAUGUUUAUUUGAUGAAUUUUAAAUCUUGAAUUGUAGUGAUUUAGUGCUUUUUAUUUUGUUCAUACUGUUAAAUAAACUAAUGAAAAAGUUGUUUUUGAAAAUACAUUUUCUUUCAUAUUCUAAUGCUACCUUCUUAAACACAAACAAAUGAUUAUUUUACCAAUAUCAUACAUGACAUGUAUUUAUUAGACUGUUAGAAUGUUGACAUCUGAAAGACUCAUCAUUGGCUUGAAGGGGGUCCCUCUAGGCUUUUCUAGUGUUAAGUAUAUUUAAAAUGUUAAAGGCGUGCAUAUUACAGUGUAUUGAUUGCAUGGCAGGGUUUCGUUUUUUAUUGCUUGUGAUAUACAGUAACAGAAAUGUAUGAGAGUUGAAAGUCUUUUUAAAUAGGGAACUCUAACAGACUUUCAUUCCUUCUGUAACUUUAUCAAAUCAAAAACUUUAUUUGUCACAUGCGCCAAUGUCACAGGUUCCAACGAGUGGCGCCCCUCGGUCGGGCAGCGGUCGUCGUCGCCGGCCUAUUAGCUGCCACCGAUCGUUGUUUCUGUGUCGUUUAGUUUUGUCUGUCUGUUCCGCACCUGUUUUGUGUAUGUCAUUAGUGGGGACUUAUUUAAUGUGUUUUCAGUUGGGAUUUUGUGCGGGAUUGUUUAUUGUCCACGUUGUGUUAGCGUCAAUUAUACGGGAAGGAUUUACCGGGCUGCGCUCCUUGCCUUUGAAUUAUAUUUUGUGUUUUAUGGGAAGGUGUUUCUCCCAGGCGCACUUUGUAUAGCGCCCUGUGCUUUUCGGCGUUUGUGUGUGUCCGUUUUUAUUAAAAGACACUCACCUCCAGCACCUCUGUCUCCUGCAUUUGAUUCCGCCUAUCCGCCAGUCCAAAUCAGACGUGACAGCCAAAUACAACAAGUGUAGACCUAACCGUGAAAUGCUUACUUUACAAGCCCUUAACCAACAGCGCAGUUCAAGAAGAGUUAAGAAAAUAUUUACCAAAUAAACUCAAGUAAAAAAUUAUAAAAAGUAACACAAUAAAAUAACAAUAACAAAGCUAUAUACAAGAGGUACCGGUACCGAGUCAGUGUGCGGGGGUACAGGUUCGUUGAGGUAAUUUGUACAUGUAGGUAGGGGUGAAGUGACUAUGCAUGAUAAUAAACAGUGAGUAGCAGCAGUGUACAAAACAAAUGGAGGGGGAGGGGGGGGGGGGUCAAUGUAAAUAGUCUGGUGAACAUUUGAUUAAUUGCUCAGCAGUCUUAUGGCUUGGGGGUAGAAGCUGUUAAGGAACCUUUUUGUCCUAGACUUGGCAUUCCGGUACUGCUUGCCGUGCAGUAGUAGAGAAAACAGUCUAUGACUUGAGUGACUGGAGUCUCUGA